CUGUUGUUUUUUUGUCCUAUCUGAACUUUGUUUUCAUUACUUCAUAUUACUGUGAAAGAAGACAUUGUCUCAAAGCAUUUUGGGACCCUGAACCAUUUGUCUGCAGUGCUAAAGGUAGGAUCAAAUAGGGAACAACAAAAUAGAGAUCAAUACCUCUGUGUUUAAAAGAUUUCUGUCUUAAUGAGUUGGAUUAGACAUCUUACAUAUGUCAUAGUUUCAUCUAUUUUUUUCUAUGUAUAGGCAAUUCCCACUUUUAAAAUUAUUUUAUAAGACUGCACAGAAGAGGGCUGGGGAUGCAGCUCAGUAGUAUAGCUCUUACCUAGCAUGUGCAAGGCCCCUGGGUUCAAUCCCCACAAUGACAAUAAACAAAGAUGCAUGGAAGAAAACAAGACAGAAGAAAGGCAUAACUGUUCACACUACCUGAUCACUGGUGUCCAUCAGUAA
rnacentral:lncRNA from 1 species